NGGAGAGGGAGGUGGGAUGGAGGAGAGGGAGGUGGGAUGGAGGAGAUGGAGGUGGGAUGGAGGAGAGGGAGGUGGGAUGGGGGAGAGGGAGGUGGGAUGGAGGAGAAGGAGGUGGGAUGGAGGAGAUGGAGGUGGGAUGGGGGAUAAGGAGGUGGGAUGCUGUGGAGCUCCAGCACUCCCAGAGCCCCAGGCUGAGCACGCCAAGCCCUCGUUCCCACGCUGCCAUGACAUUUACCUUCGGGCUGAAUUAUGGCGCGUUUGGUUUACGUCUCUCCAAACAGCUGGAGAGCAACAAACCCACCCUCAACACGGGGGAAAUAAUGAGGAAAAGCCUCCCCUGCCGAGCUGGUGGUCUGGGGGUGGAUGGGCCAGGGCACCCCGUGGUGCCAGGAGCCAUGCCAGGGGUGGUGGCCAAGUCCUGGUUGGAGAAGGAAGCGUGGGGAGCUUCCACCCAACAGAGCAGCUCUUGCUGGGGCCACGGCCAAAUUCCCACCAUUCCACAGAACCACGGAAUUCCAGACUGGUUUGGGUUGUGAGGGACCUUAAAGCCCAUCCAGUGGCACCCCUGCCAUGGGCAGGGACAUCUUCCACAUCUUCCUCACCUUCCUCACCUUCCUCACCUUCCACCUUCCACACCUUCCUCACCUUCCUCACCUUCCACACCUUCCUCUCCUUCCUCAUCUUCCUCACCUUCCUCACCUUCCUCUCCUUCCUCUCCUUCCUCAUCUUCCUCACCUUCCACACCUUCCUCACCUUCCUCACCUUCCUCACCUUCCUCUCCUUCCUCAUCUUCCUCACCUUCCUCACCUUCCACAUCUUCCUCACCUUCCUCACCUUCCUCACCUUCCUCACCUUCCUCACCUUCCACACCUUCCACACCUUCCACACCUUCCUCACCUUCCACACCUUCCUCACCUUCCUCACCUUCCUCUAUCCCAGGCUCAAAUCCCACCCAACUCGGUUUGAAAUUUCCCCUCAUUUUGGAUUUGGCAGAGCCAAACGAGCUCCAGGGAAGAGGCCCCAGGGCCCGGCAGGGAUUUGGGGACCCUGGCCCACCCAUAUCCCCAUCCCAGCCACCCAAGGCCAUCACCUUUGCACAGGACCCCCAGAGCCCCCAGCACGGCCAGACCCCGCAGUGGGGAGGAGCUGCCCCCUCCCAAAUUCCCAAAUCCCAGGGUGCCAACGGGAGCAGAACAAAUCCUGCCAGAGAGGGGUCCGGGAGCCCUUCCAGGAGGGAAAGGAGCCCAGGGGAGGGAAAUCCCGAUUUGUGCCAGGGCCGAGGGGCACCUUGAGCCAUCCCUGCCUGCAGGGACAGCAUCCUGCGCCCGAGCCGAGCCACUUUGAGUGGCGAGAGGUGAAAUGGAGAGAAAAGGUGAACGGAUGGAAACCCCGGCAGCAGCGUGGCUCUGCUGGCCCCAAAACAGAGACCCCCGCAGCCACGACCCCCCC
rnacentral:lncRNA from 1 species